CUUGUACUCCCUCCGUCCGGAAAUACUUGUCAUUGAAAUGGAUGUAUCUAGAUGUAUUUUAGUUAUAGAUACAUCCAUUUUCAUCCAUUUUGAUGACAAGUAAUUCCGGACGGAGGGAGUAUUUC
rnacentral:pre_miRNA from 1 species